rnacentral:rRNA from 1 species
CCCUUAGAUGUUCUGGGCUGCACGCGCGCUACACUGAUGCGUUCAACGAGUGUAUCACCUUGCCCGAUAGGGUUGGGUAAUCUUUUGAAACCUUGUCGUGCUGGGGAUAGAUCCUUGCAAUUUUUGAUCUUAAACGAGGAAUUCCUAGUAAGCGCAAGUCAUCAACUUGCGUUGAUUACGUCCCUGCCCUUUGUACACACCGCCCGUCGCUACUACCGAUUGAAUGGUUUAGUGAGGCCUUCGGAUCCGCGACUCGUUUGUGGAAAAGUUGGACAAACUCAGUCAUUUAGAGGAAGUAAAAGUCGUAACA